ensembl:lncRNA
AGCUCCCGGUGUGCCCCGCGGACACCCGGUGAGUCUGGAGCCGGUCGGUGGGCCCCGGAGGUGCCCGGGAGCGGGGCUGGGGAGCGCGGGGUGCGGUUGUGAGCGCUGGGGAGUGGGGCUGGGAGUGUGGGUGUGCUGGGAGUCCGGCGGGGGACUGGCAGCUGCGGGGGUCCCAGACCUUUCCCUGCCUAGCCCAGCCUGCCUGAGCUGCCAGCCUCGUGACACGUACAAAGGAAGCACCACGGAGGAGCUGAUCUUCUGCAGUGAGGCCAUCAAGUUAGCCAUGAAACUGCAAGCCGUGCAGUGAGUUCAGAGCCACCAAGGCCAGAUGAAGACCCUGCCCAGGAAGGGCAAACAAGAAGGCAAGAAGCUGCAGGACCCCAUCUCUGAGCUCCCUGGGGAAGGGGAGGGUUUCCUCCUGAGAGGGCCCCACACUGGUGUUUGUGGCCAUGGUGAGCAGCUGGAGAAGGCAGAUGCUCUCACUGCCUGGCCAAAGCUGAAGCCUGAGAGGAGGAAGAGGCUGGCCCAAAUAAGACUGCAGUGGCCCCCUCUGCCACGUGCAUGGGUGUGCAGGGGCACAAGCUCCAGGCCCCCAUCUAAGGACAUGCAGGCACAGUAGGGGAAGAGGAAGGGUGCCAGGCACUGCAGGCUCAGACCAUGCCAAAAGUUGCUCCAGAACCACAGGGCUUUCUGCUUCACAUCCAGGAUCAAAAGUCUGAAGAGCCUGGAGGAAGGAAAAAAAAAAAAAACCAAGAGACCAUGCCUGAGUAGCUUGUGUUCUGUGGGGCAGUUACUGUCUCCCAGCUUGAGUUCUGUGGGGCAGUUGCUGGGUUCCAUGGCCUCCACAUCUGAACACAUGGUGUUCUAGAAUCAGCCACAGAAUGCUGAUUUGCAAAUAUUCUCUCAAGUCAAUUCCCAGUAGGUUCUCCAUGAACGGGGAUAAUAAGUGCCGCUGCACUAAGUUCCUCUAAGCCUGAUGGAAUUUAGCGAGAGUCCUGAACAGGAAUCAUCAUCACUCCAACUCCUUACUCUUGGUUUUACAGCCUGGAGUGCUCAGUUCAUGAAUAAGCACUGAAGGAUUCUGGUUCCCUUUGCCUGCUGCUCCUCUUUCCUCUGUGGCCAACACCAUGGAAAAGACCCAAGGUUCUCCAGCCUGCUCUCAGUAGAGAAAGACUGACUGCAUCUCUUGCCAAGAAGGCUUCUUGAUGUAAUGAGAGGGGUGCUGCUCCCACGUGAGAAACCAAGAGAAAGGGAUGGAAAAUAUAUGUAUAAUUCAGGAGUCUCCCACUGCCUGAAGCGGCUGGUUAAUCUGGUCCCGCAGAAGGGUCUGUGCAGUACAGAAGCUCCCCAAGCAAGCCCCUGGCAAAGGCUGGCUUGCUGCGGUCAGCAGACUGAGCCCACCACUGCUCCCAAGGAGUGCUUCCUCAAGGUCUUCUGUCCAGACAAGCCUCCUUCCCCAAAAUGCAGGGUCACUUUCUUCACACUGCUGGUCUCUGCCCUCAGCUGAGACACCUCACUCGGGAGGUGGGAACGAGCAGGAAAGAGCUUCCCAGAGGGAUGAAAACACAAACACACAACACCCGGCCCAGGAGCCCAGGACCGCACCCAAACCCUAACAUCCCCCAACAGGGCUUCCCUGCAGACCCACCCUAAAAUCCAUCCUUUAGGUGCCACCUGAAGGUUCAUUUCUCCAGUUCAUUCCUGAAUCCUCAUGACCAAUAACAUAAGAAAGUUGGGAUAACCUCAGGACAGGAAGAGCCCCCACCUCAUUAUCUGUCCCACAGUGGGUCUGAUCCCGGUUUAAGGCACAUAGUGAAGCCCGAAGCAGUGCUGGCCCGGCUGGCACACCCAGGCAGCUCAGUGCCCAGCCCAGAGUCCUUGACAUCUCAGUUCCAAACUGGUUGAGCCAGGGAAGAGGCCCUGCUUGGGAUUGGUGAGGAGCAGGCAGGGGUAUGCAGGACCAAGCACCAUCACUAGGCACAUUCAAUAGGAUUGACCAGGGCUCUUGAGUGGUUCCCAGUUACUCUGAGUCACCUCCAGCAGGGUUCUGGGUUGCACUCGGAUUCCCAGUAGCCCUCAGAGAUUCUCAAGCGGUUUCCAGUUAUUCCCAGUUACACCCAGAGGCUCUUGAAAGCUUCCCAGUUGCCCGCAAAGGUUCUGGGUUGCCCUCUGGGCUUCCUAGUUGGCCGCAGUGGCUCCCUAGUUGCCUCCACAAGGCUCUGGGAUGUUCCACCUUCCCCUUCAGAGGCUCCCAGGGUGAUGGCGUCCCUUGCCCCUGUGUCCCAGCUCAUGCAGCUAGGCUCCCUGCAGCAGUCAGCCCCGCAGGCACGAGAGGCAACGCUUCCCAGGUUUACCACUUAUUUAACAUGUAUUUGCUUGGAAGGAGGGAAAUUGUAUUUCGUAAGUGUCAGGAUUGAGAAAACUCUCCCUGCUCAUGGGAAGAUGGGAAUAAAGAAAAAACAAAAACCCAAUAAACCCCCACAUUUGCUGGAUUUGGGCUGGAUUUUGACUGCAAUGGAACAAGGUAAAACCCCUGAAUACCUGCAGUAUAUUGAUGACAUCAGUGUGUGGAGCAACACAGCAGAGGAAGUGUUUGAGAAAGGCAGAAGAAUAAUCCAGAUUCUUUUGAAAAUGGUUUUUGCCAUAAAACAAAAGUCAAAUGACCUUCAUAGGAGCUCCAUUUUUUAGGAAUAAAAUGGUAAGAUGGG